UCCCUGGUGGUCCAGUGGCCAAGACGCUACACUCCCAAUGCAGGGGUCCUUGGUUCAAUCCCUGGUCAGGUAA
rnacentral:tRNA from 1 species